ACAAACCUUCCCCCUCCCCUUUCCCCGUUUCCCCCUCUCCUCCUCUCCCCUCCACCCAUCCAUUGUUCUCCUCCAAACCUCACCCAUCCCAUUUCCGCCCCUCCACCCCCUCACCUCCCCUCUUCCAUUACCCACCCCUACCCCUCCACUCCAUCCCCUCUCUUGCCUCCAUCGCUGUCCCUCCCUCUUCAACCCUUCUCCCCCAUAUCCCUCCUCACCUCUCACCAACUCCUUCUCCCAUCCCUCCUCCCUACCUCUUUCUCCUCUCACCUCACCCCAUCCAUCCCCUCUAACUUCACUUUCAUCCAACCUCUCCCUUCUCCACCUCUCCCCCCAUGCCUUCAUCUCUCCCUCCAUCUCUCCAUGCCUCUAGCUGAUAAGCAGCAGGGUGGCUCCAGUGGCGUGGUGAUAGCCGUGGUGGUGUGUGUCCUAAUGCUGCUGCUGCUGGUGGCACUCCUAUACUUCCUCAACAAGAAGGGCAAGCUGCCCUGCAGCAAGAAGGACAAUAAGGAAGUGGCAAGUGGGGAUGUGAAUAAUGACAUUGUGGUGGAGAUGAAGACAGAAAAGGCCAAUGAAGAGGCUGGCCUCCUGAACAAGCCAGGAGCACAGCAGUGAGGAACAGAGGAGAAUAUGACACAAGAAGACAGAAAGAGAGGGAUGAAGGGAUGGAUGAAAAACGACAGCAGGGCUUGUCGGACUGAGGGAGAAAAGACGGUGGAAUGGAAGGGUGUUUUUGUAGGGAUGCGGGGAACCUGUUGGGGGAGGGGGGGGGUAUUUAAACAUGAGACCUAAUACAUCACUGAACAUCAUCAUGACAUUAUCAGAGUGUAAUCCCUUUCCACCAAUCACAACUCUUGGUUGACAACUCUCACAACUCUUGGUGUAGAAUAGAGCUGUACAGUAAACGUGUCCAACAUGACUCUAGCCACAGUAACUCUACCCCAAUCCAAACAGAAAAUGCCAUUGUGUUGCAGGAGUGUAUGUGCGUGUGAGCGUGUGUUUGUGAGUGUGUGCUGUAUUGCUUUGUGUAUCUGAGCUGUGGGUUGUUCUUCGUUCAGUCAGUGUAGAACUGGAUGUGUCUGUUCUGUGUGGAGUCUGCAUCUAGCCCAUUCUGAUGGACAUGGGGAAAACACAAACUGUCAUCCUACUCUAUUCAUCCCUAUGCUGAUUAUUGUGUCACUCUGAAUUCUAUCCCGUAACAUAGAGAUUGACCGUGCCUACUGUUACAUCAAACUUAAUGAUCAUAUUGCAGAUGUGCUUUCUGACAAACCUUUUCAGUCAAACAGGGCAAGCAAGGCCCACUUAUACAAGUCAAAAGUCAUUCCAGCCUAAAUCCACUCCGGCCUUCUGAUAAGAGCCUAUACUGUAUAUAAUUCUAGACUGUUCUAAGGAGGAACUUACCCCUAUCUCCCUGUUUGCUUUGGUCCUGGCCAGAGUCCUCUCUUUACAGGAUGACAUGAAAUAGAAGACUCUAGUCCCUGUGUAUCAAUUCAUUGUUUAGUUUUUCAUUUCAAAUCUAGAAUGUUUAUUCAUUUAUUCAAAUUCCUUUCAGCUGUUACCUUAGCAACAGCCGAGACAAUUUCUAACUUCCUGAUCCCUUCCUGUGUAAAUGUAUUUUUUUCUCAAACCAAAAAGCAACAAAAAUACAAGCUAUUCGGUGUACAAAUUAGUUCCAAAAUGUUGACGAAAUGUUUAUUAUGUAUCAGGUCAUUUGUUUUAUUCUUUUUGUUGCUCUGUCUCUGCAAAUGGAAUACUGUAUAACCUGUCAAUCAAAUGGAGGCUUACUGCAUACGUGAGGUGAAUCUGAAUGAAUCUGUGUGUGUUUACUGUGUCGUUAGAGACCUGACCCUGCUACAGCGCUCGCCGUAUUUCAUAGCCUACUGUCCUUCUCUGAGCAAAGCCAUUUUCAGAAACACAACACUCCCUGUUACGCUCAGCUCACCCAA
rnacentral:lncRNA from 1 species